GCUUUCAGCAGACUGAUCGAACACACAGGCUUCUCAGCCCACUCCCUCCAGUCAAGGUUAAGGCCUGGCAAAGGUGGGGGAAGAGAAGCUGAGGAGAAAAAGGCUGAGGAGAUCCCAGGCACAGGAAGGUGACUGCUUCCCUCCCUCCCAGUGCUGAUUUCCUGUGGACCAGAUUCCAGCACAGUGAAGGGCCAGAGCUCAGGGAACAGACCCAGCAGCACAGCAAGUCUCCAAGGGAAGCUCUAGCAGUCUCCAGGGGCUGAAGGCAGGACUGGGGAAAUGGCUAACCAGGCUGCAGAAGUCAAACGCUCCCAGUCGGCUGUCCAGCAGGCAUCUGCCUUCCUAGCCAAGUUUCCUGGGCUCCUGCCACAGAUCUAAGCCUCAUCCUGACAUCCUGCCCUCUGUGCUCUGGGAUGGCCCAGGGGAGAUGCUUAGCCUUGGCUUCUUGUCUGCUGGUGGAGGGGACACACACCCUUUCUGGACCACAGACCAAAAAGAAGACCUGACGUCAUCUUGAGCACCCACCCCUGCCAUGCAGAGUGUGUUUGCAGACUGCCAACGGGCUGGCUCCGGCCAGC
rnacentral:lncRNA from 1 species